GGAGGAGUCGGAGGCCCUUGGCUCGCAGCACGAUCACCGUGAGGCGGUUCAGGCAGUCGUUGUAGCUGAGGCAGAACUGGAGGUCGCCAAACUUGGAGGGAGGCUGGAGAGGCCGAGAGGAAAGCACCCCUGUCACCCUGCACAGAGAGGCCAGGAGCAAGUCGGUGCAGGGACAGGACAGGGAAGUGGUGGGUGUAACUACGCAAGCAUGACGUGCGGCUGAUCCAAGCCUCCCCACCUUGGAUCUGGAUGUCCUAAGAGGAGCAGGUUCACCUGUGAAUUCUCACAGCCUCGGCACCAGCAGGACAGCCAGGGGCUGGGCCGCGUGCCACCCCUCUUCUCAGUGCUCAGCCCCGGAAGAAGGCAGGAGUCACGCUCUUCCCAGAUGCAGACUGGCCUCUCCUCACCUUGCCGACCAGCCUGCUGCCCUGCUCUUAAAACUGUUUGUCCGGGGCCUCCCGGCAGCUCUUGAGUCCUGGCUUCCCGUGAGGGCCCCAGUCACCUGUUGAGGCUCCCAGGCCGCCGUGAGCUUGGCUCAGUGCUCCGGCAGCCUCAGCACCUCCAGACCCUGAGCGCAUCCGCCCACCAUGCUGCCAAGGCACCACCUGUCGCAAGAUGGCUCUCAGGUCCUGCUCUGGCUUCUGACGGGACGGAGCUGUGAGGAUCUAAUCCGGGAGCUGCUGAGUUAACAACGUAUGGAAAGUCGAGCUAAAAGAGACGAAGAGGUGCCAGGUUCUUUUUUUUUUUUUUUUUUGAAUAAAUUUAUUUAUUUAUUUUUGGCUGCAUUGGGUCUUUGUUGCUGCUCACAGGCUUUCUCUAGUUGCAGUGAGCGGGGGCUACUCUUUGUUGCGGUGCACGGGCUUUUCAUUGUGGUGGCUUCUCUUGUUGCAGAGCAUGGGCUCUAGGCGCGCGGGCUUCAGUAGUUGUGGCACAUGGGCUCAGUAGCUGUGGUUUGUGGGCUCUAGAGCACAGGCUCAGUAGUUGUGGCACUUGGGGCUUAGUUGCUCUGCGGCAUAUGGGAUCUUCCCAGACCAGAGCUGGAACCCAUGUCCCCUGCGUUGACAGGCGGAUUCUUAAACAGUGCACCACCAGGGAAGCUCCGAGGUGCCAGGUUCUGCUGAUAUCAUUUAAGCCUCUGGAUUCAGCCAAACCUGAUUUUGGACUCUUGCCUUACAAGAGCCAAAGAAAAGUCCUUUGGUGCUUCACCCAAUUUGAGUUGGGUUUUUGCCUCUCGAAGUCCAAAGAGUACACUGGCUAAUACACUUCUUUUUUUAAAAAAUAUAUUUUAUAUUUUAUUUAUUUAUUUAUUGGCUGCAUUGUGUCUUCGUUGCUGCGAGUGGGCGUCCCACAGUGGUGGCUUUUGUUGUUGCAGAGCAUGGGCUCUAGGUGCGCGGGCUUCAGUAGUUGUGGCACGCGGGCUUUAGAGCACAGGCUCAGUGCAGGCUCAGUAGUUGUGGUGCACGGGCUUAGUUGCUCCGCGGCACGUGGGAUAUUCCCAGACCAGUGCUCGAACCCGUGUCCCCUGCAUGGCAGGCAGAUUCUUAACCACUGCGCCACCAGGGAAGCCCUGGCUAAUGUACUUCUAUGUAGAAGUACAAUACAUCACUGGUGGCACCUGCUAUGCCCACAGCCCUAGCAGAGGGGACAGCUAAGUAGGUGGACAUGUUUUAGACCAUGUGGCCAUUGGGUGGGAGAGGGCCACAUGGUCUAAAGUGCUGAGUUCAUUGGCUGGGCAGGACUUGUGAGCUUUUCUUUGGCAUUAAAGAUCACAUAUGUCUAUCAGAUUCCUCUUGUUUGAACUAGGAGUUUGGAAAGAUGGCAGGAGCAAGGCAGCUAGCUGCAGAGGAAGACGCAAGGAUGCAUUAAGAGAUGCCACCAGGAGGAGCUGGGGCCUUGGUGAUUCAAGGUGUCCAAGCAGCUGGAAUUCUGCGUCAGUAGAGGUCUCUAGUUGGUAGAAAGAGUGGAAAAGAGGAAAGUCAAGAGGUUAGAUGGUGCACUUAGCUCCAGGAAGGAAGCAAUGCAGUAAUGGAUAUUUCUGGAUCUCUCUUGCUUGUUCCUGAGGACUCCCGUGUCCCCUGCAUUGGCAGGUGGAUUCUUAACCACUGCGCCACCAGGGAAGUCCCAGUGAGUGAGUUUCUUUCUGAAGACUCCUAGAGAAAUUCUUUAUUGUAUGUCAUUGGCGCUAAGUGGAACACAGACCUAUUAUCCUGAACAACCUCUGCGGCCAGGGUAAUGUGAUGCAGUGAUUGGCUUAGGCCUCGUCAUAUGCUCUUCCUCGAGACCCACCCAAAGCACAUGGGCAUGGAGGAGAGGAGAGGGUGAGUAAUUUGUAACAUACAGGUUGAACUGCUGGAAGAGAAACUUCAGGUGAGAUUAGCUUAAGCAAGAUAGAAGUUUCUUUCUCUCUUACCUGUGUGUAGGUAAGCAGCCUGGGAGCCCAGGUGUUUUCCUAUCUUGUUGCUUCACUAGCCCUAGGUAUUAGGUAUCUGUGUGGUAUGAGAUGUUUCACCAUCUCUACCACCCAGCCAGUGGGAACAGAAAAGAGAAAGAGGAGGGUUCACCCCUUCUGGUCACAGGCAUUGCCUCUCCACACUUCAGUCCUACUGGUCAGUUACUUGGCCAAACAUAGCUUUCAGGAAGAUAAUGAAAUAUUGUCUUUUUUCCCCCCUGGAUUUCCAUGUCCCCAGAUAGAAGAAGGAGAUCAUGACCAUUAGGGGCCAAUUAGCAGUCUCAUUCCCAGUCUGUCCCUUUGGCCAACAAAAUGUCUGUGUGCUCCAUUCUCCCAAAGCUUCAAAUGUCCUCCCCCGGGGGAAGACAACCCCCAAGUUCCAUCCAGUGCCUGUACCCAGCUCCCAGCCUAGGAUCUGGGCAUGGAUAGCCUGCAGUGUGGGGUCUGGAUGUAGUUCUUCGUGGUGCAGUGCCCAGCAUACACAAGUUAGCUGCCUCAUCACACCCAAUAUGCAACAGUACAUUAGAACAGUAUAACACAGUAGGAACCCCUGUCCAGAAGAGGGGAAAAUGGAAAUGCCUGCAGCCACUGGUUGGCUGCUGUCAUCAAAUCUUGGUGGGCAGAAAUAGCAAAGAAUCCCAGGGUGUGGAGCAAAUUCCUUGGAUGAAGGUCCUGUCUCCAGGACUGUUCCCCACUUUGUUCACUCUCUUCUGUGGCCACAUCUGAAGUGGGCAUCAAAGGUGCACCCCUCUUGGGGCUGCAUAGCUUUUCAGCCCACUUCCUGCUGGUGUGGGUUUCGUGAGUUGGGAUUCAUUGCUUUGAGUCAACAAUGCAGGCUGGUGCUGGCCGGGCUUGUGGUUUUUUGGGAAACACAUGUCCCUCAAAAUCUUAGUUUUGGGCAUGUAAGAGAAUUUAAAACUCUGGUCUUUUAUUUAUGAGCCUAUAUGAUAUACCUGUUCACCACCCUCUCAACUUGAGGCCAGUGAAAACAUUCAGCUUGGAUUGGAAGGCAAUAUCCCCCACCUGGUCUUUGCCAGUGAGCUGACUGUCACUGUCACACUGAGAACCUUUCACUGAAAGUACUUGAGAAAGACAGGGGUCCAUGGUCUUGCCUCUUGCCAAUACCACUUCUUCAGAAACAUCUCCUAUAUCUGCCUCAGUUUGCGCUAUAGAAGCAGUAGGAUUUUUCAACCUGAAAACCUUUUCAGUUUAGGUUGUAGCCAAUAGGCAAAGAGAGCUUCUCCUAGCACACCAACCCCCAUCUCUGCCUGCACGCUGCCACCUCUAUCCAGAUCCUUCUGGCUCAUGUAGGACUUUGUUGAGAGUGGCAAGAAGCAGCCCGCAAACCUCAACAUCCUGAAAUUUUCAGCCAUUUCCCUAGAGCUACAGAUGACUUUCCAAGGCACUGGAGGAAUCAGUUUAUUAACUGCUUUCGUGUGGCAUAACAUGGGUUUCCGGCUUUCCAGCCUGCAAUAAUAUGUAUUUAGAACAUAUUUUAAGUUUUGUUACCUGCAGCACUUCCCUUCCAGGUCAAAAUUGUUGUUAAUGAAUAGAUAAGCUUUCUUUCUGCAAGACAGCCCCCACCCCAAAGAGUGGCUCAAAUAGGCUAGAGGUUAAUUUCUCUUUCAUGUGAUACUCGGUCAUAGAUAGUCCAGGACUGAUAGGCCAUGCACAGUGUUGGGAUUUAGGCCCCUUCUAGCUUGCUGCUCUGACAUCCCUAGGGCCCUGCCCUCAUCUGAAUGGUACAGACUGGCUUAAUGCCAUGACUUCAUCCCAUCAAGCGAGGAGGGAAAGGGCGAGGCACAUUCUUUUUUUUUUUUUAAUAUUUAUUUAUUUGGUUGCACCGGCUUAGUUGCGGCAGGCGGGCUCCUUAGUUGUGGCAUGCGAACUCUGAGUUGUGGCAUGCAUGUGGGAUGUAGUUCCCUGACCAGGGAUCGAACCUGGGCCCCCUGCAUUGGGAGUGCAGAGUCUUAACCACUGCGCCACCAGGGAAGUCCCAAGGCACAUUCUUUCUGAAGGGCACGACCUAGAAAUGGCACUCCAUCACUUCUGCUAACAUCCCACUGGACACAACCUAGGCCCUUGGCAGGCCUCGCAGCACCGUGUCUGGGAAAUGUGGCUUUUAUUCUGGGUAGUCAUAUUCUUGGUUAGAGGAGUUCUAUUACUAUAGAAAGGGAGAAUAAAUAUUGGGGGAUGACCAGCAAUCUCGGUCUUGGGGUGAUCCUCCAAAUGAAAUGGGGGGAUGGAUGGCGGGGAGCAAAAAGCAACAGAGGUCUAUUUAUAGGCUCUCUCCUGUUGUGUCCCAGCCCCUUCCGCCUCCUUUAAUCACCAUGACCUAAUUGUCUGUGUGUCUGUCAUUGCUGUCCCCGAAUCUCCCAUCACAGAGGCCUUGAGGACUGGCACUUAUCAGGGACUCAGUAAAAUGUCUGUGGACUAAACUGAGGUGGUAAUACGUACUCCUGGGUAAACUACCUUUCAACCUUCCUCCCUCCCUCUUUUCCUUCCUUCCUUUGUUCCUUCAGCGAGCAUCUAUUAGAUGCCAGGUCCCAGGGAGUCUUCUCUCUCCAGGAGGUUCUUUUCACUCAUGGAUCUAAUGGCUAGAAGAGUCUCUCACACUCUAGGGAUACUUUUGUCUGAAAAACAAGCAUAUACCUUUCAACUUAGUCAAAGCUCUCUCUUCCUUAGGCAAUGACACAUCGACACCUUUGAACUUUCAGCGUCUCCUUUUCUGAGACUCCCGGAGUUGCUGCCCCAGUGGUCACUGUUGAGCUAGCUCAGUGUCACUUCCCCUUUCGUCUGGCAACAGCAUCUUGCAUCUUCACCACCUUCUGGGACCCUGGAGGGGCUGUCAGUCAUAGCACAAUGUCCCCACCCUCCCGGGAGUAGCAUACGACACACGCUGGCCAAUCGAAGAACUCCCUCCCCCUGGCCCAGGAUUGUCAAGCAGGGUAAGAUUUGAUUUGUGGAUCCAGAGACAUGAGGAUGUAGAUUUGGGGCUGCCGGCAACCCUUGUUUCCCAAGAGGAGAGAGCCCAGGUGAGAAUGACUCUAACCCAGAGGGGAUCAGAGGGAAGGAGUGCGAGAGACAGAGCCUUUGAAUUUUGCAAUGCUUGAAGCUAGAUUCAGUAAGUUCUCUUCUUUGCCUAAACAUUAGCCCUUUUACUCAGGGUUCAGUUCUGAUCAAUGAUUGGUUAAUAGGCAAGUUAACUCAGAGACAUAUGGGGAGCAAUCUGAUUCAGAAUUUGUCUAGAUGUUAUGACUUUCUUCUUAUGCUUUUUCAAGUUGCCUUUCCCACACUUAACUGGCAGCAGUUUUGAUGACUCGCUUUCCAGAGCAUUUAACCCAGUUUUCACAGGAACAAAACUUUCUUUUCAUAUUCAUAUUCCAUGGGUUCAUGUGCUGUUUAAUUACCUUGAAUAAUGAUAACACAUAUGGUUGGAAUAAGUAAGUUUGGAUACAAACUCAACUGACUCUUGGUAAGCCAGCAACUCAGCUGGGAGAGCAGAGGUGCCCAGCCAGCUAAAGUGUGUCCUCCUGGCUACCAGCAUCCAGAAGGCUUUGCUCACCGUCUUUACUGAAGGAAUGAGGACCUUGACUCGUUCCACAAGUUGGUUAAGUGGGGAUGCGUCAAAAGCACCUUUUAUUUAUUUAUUCAUUCAUUCAUUCAUUCAUUCAUUCAUUCUUAUCUUUUGGCCACACCACCUGGCAUGUGGGAUCUUAGUUCCUAGACCAGGGAUUGAACCCACACCCCCUGCAUUGGAAGUGCAGAGUGUUAACCACUGGACCUCCAAGGAAGUCCCAAAAGCACCUUUUAAAGUUUAACUCUCUAAUUCUCUCAUAACUGUGAGUCUUAACUAAAACUUGUUUUUCUUUGAUGAAGAUUCUUUCUUUAUGAUUUCUGGUUCCAAACUUGCGUGGCCCCCAAUAUUUCUUGGUGAUCCUCCAUGGCAUUUCUUUGGCCAGUAGUCUCUUCCACUUUCUGCAACAACUAUUUCAAACCUCCUCCUCCCUCCUUGCCCCUCCAGCCUUUCCAUCUUCCCCUGUUUGUCUCAGCACGUGAUCUUGCAUUUUAUUACACAGAGAAAACAGAACCAUCAGACAAGAAAACAGAGAUCAACGAACUUCCAUUUCCAAACCUAGUGCCCCACCUAGGUAUUACCCCAUCAUUUUUUCUUGCCCCCUGGUUACACACAGAAAUCGCCUGACUCCUGUUUACCACAUUCAGGAUCCCACUGGGGACCUUACGCCAGCAGUGAUUCCCACUCUUUCCUGUUCUUCAUGCACUCCCUCUCUAUGGGCCCUUCUCCCCACUGUCAAAUAUAUUCAGUUUGUUACAAUGUGCCGUGAUCUGUCUGUGUCUGGCCACCCAGUCUCCAUUCCUCCUUCUGGGGAAAAUGCCUUGUGUGUGCAGUCGUGGUGGGUCCUGUGUGAUGCUCCUAGAGAUGCCUUCGGCCAGGUAUUCCUCUCACCGUCCAAGGACAGAGGGCAUGUGGCCUAAGCUCAGUCAAAUGAGCUCCUGCUUCCCCGGUUCUUUAAAUCUCAAGUUGAGAGGUAUACGAAAGACAAACAACUGAAACCCUUCCUUCUAGAUGGUGGGGUGGCCCUUGCUGCUGGGGUCUGCACUCACCUGGCUCCUGUCUUGAGGGACCAAGGCCAGCUCUCUUGCAUCAGCUUCCAUCUGGGCUCUCUGCAAUCUUCCAACAAGUUCCUUUUUUGCUUAACUUAACCAGUGUUGUUUUCUGUUUCUUGAAAUCAAGGAAACCCACUACAUGAUGCAUCAUAUUAAAAAGCAAACCAGGACUUCCCUGGUGGUGCAGUGAUUAAGAAUCCAUCUGCCAAUGCAGGGGACACGGGUUCGAGCCCUGGUCCAGGAAGAUCCCACAUGCUGCGGAGCAACUAAGCCCGUGCGUCACAACUACUGAGCCUGCGCUCUAGAGCCCGCGAGCCCAUGUACCGCAACUACUGAAGCCCACGCGCCUAGAGCCCGUGCUCCGCAACAAGAGAAGCCACCGCAAUGAGAAGCCCGCGCACUGCAACGAAGAGUAGCCUCUGCUUGCUGCAACUAGAGAAAGCCCAUGCUCAACGAAGACCCAACACAGCCAAAAGAAAGCAAACCAAAAAACAGCACCAACACCAAAAAAUCUUUCUUGAUCCCACACCCCUUUCCAAGUAACACCUUUUCUUCCUUUCCCCUUUACGGCCAUCCUUAAAAGAGUUGUCUGCACAAGCACUGUCUUCCAUUUUCCCCCUUGACUCCAGUGGCUCUGGCUCCAUUACCUCGUUGAAGCUGCUUGUUCUAAGCGCCCGGGGUCACAGCAAUGUCCCGGUUUCCCUCAUUCCUUUCUGGCUGCUCCUUCUCAGUCCUUUGCCACCUGGUUACUCACAGGUGGGUCCUAGGUCCUCUUCUCCACACUCUCCCUGAAGACCUUAUCCACUCCUGUGACUUCAGGGACCCCUGUGCCCAUGAUGCCCAGACCUCCUGGGGAAGCCCAAACCCCAGUCCUGUAUGUUCCACUCGCCUCUCCACCUGCUGUCCCACCCAUCCCAGCAUGCCCCCACUGAACUCCUGAGCCCACCAUACCUGCUUCUCUUCUGUCAGGGUCUGAGUCUCAGGAAAUGGCACUUGGCCCGUGAGGUCCUAAGUCAAGCGCCUCCUCUCUCUACCAAAGCAAUCAACAAACUCCACUCCCAUCCCCACCCCAGGCAGUCCUAGCUUGUAUCUCCAGAACAAAGGAGAAGCUCGAUAAAUAUUUGAUCAGAUGACUGAGAGCAGCAAGAAGACUCUACAGAACACUUAAACAAACUAUUUCUUAUAGUCCUGUGAGGUAAGAAUAAGUAUCUGCAGAUGAGGAAAUUGAUGCCCAGAGAGAGGGAUGGUUUAGCUUGGGUGUGAGAACACAGAACCAGUGAAUAUACGGGGGUGUUGGGAUUGUCAUCCCUGUCUGACUCUCCAUCCUGGGCUCUCUGCCGGCAGCCACUGCAGCCAGGAGAGCUCCCAUGACCAGCCACAAAUGGAAGAAGAGGACCAGUGGGACAAGGGGCCAAGGCCAGGGUGCUGUUCAGAGACCCUAAUGGCAGGUUCAGUCAGGCUGCAUCUGCGGGCAUCCAGCAUGGCAGACAUCUGCUGACACCCACCUCCAAGCAGGGAUCCUUGAAACACUUGCAGUGAGGUUCUCGGGGGGCUCUCUGAUGCUCAGGGAGCUGGGAGCCGCAGGUCUGAGGCACCAACUCUCAGUAUAUCCCCACAUAGCUCCUCCCUUCCUGGAACUCUGUUGACUUCCCUACAAAGGAAAUAAGAGGAAGAGUCAUGAGAUGUUGGAGGAGGGGCCCUAAUUCCUGGGCAGGGGCAGGAGUGGGUGGUGGUCUCAGCAAACAAACCCCCAACAUGCCCCCUUUUGGCCGUAUCCCCCUGCCAGGCUGUGUAUGGUGAGGAGGCCCGCCAUCUGCUAGACCCUGGGAAAGAGACCCCACUGGAAAGGGGUGCUUGGGACAGUCUGAGUCUUCCUGAGCAGAACCCCACCCUCUUCACCAGUGAGUGAGAUCCUAACUUGAUGCUGUAACUGGAGGGCUGGGGUGGGUGGGCAGAGAAGGUAAAGCCAAUGCUUCCAGGCCCUAAGUGGCAGGAUCUCAGGCUGGGGGGAGCAGACAGUGAUCUGGGCAGAGAAGCGUGAGGGCAUGACCCACAGGGUCAAAUGCUGUGUGUGACAUGGUGGUAUAGUCGGCUCUCUGUAUCCAUGGGUUCUGCUCGUGUGGAGUCAAUCAACCACAGAUGGCAAUCUUAAUACACGAUCAGCAGUCGGUUGAAUCCAAGGAUGUGGAACCUGCAGAUAUAGAGGGCCGACUAUAGCCCUUGACCAUCUGAGGAUUUUGAUAUCUGCGGUGGGGCCUGGAACAAAUACCCCGCGGAUACCGAGGGAAUGACUGUUUAUCCGUUGCGUACUUUGGUCUAUGAGACAAACUGAUGAGGGGCAGCUCAGAGCUACAGAGAGGGGUACUAAGGCUGGGAGGGGUCUCACAUGCAGAGAACACACCAAGGCAUUGGGUGGGGGCAGCUGGGUGUGAGGGCCAAGCCACACCUGCUGCAUAGUGCUGCACGCCCCCUCCUCUGGACUAGCUGCCAGGCUAGGGGCUACGGAAAGUGAAUGGUGCAGGCUCCUGCCUGGGCUUUCCACUCUCCAAUGGCUGGGGAACUUUUUGCAGGUCCCCUCUUGAUGCUGGGUGGAGGCGCAGGGCUGGUGGAGACCGGAGAAGUGAGGCUGGGGCCUGAGGUCUUCCCAAACUGGAAGAGCAGUAGAAAUGGUAUUGCCUCUUCCACCACUGAACCAGAGGGGUGCAGCCCCCUCAGCGAAGGGCUGGGCAGGCAAAUCAGUGGUCCCUGAAGCUGGGAUCAACAGAGGAGGGUCGACACUGGGGCUCAAUUCUCAGAGCCCAGAGAUACGACAAGAUUCUCUUACAAGGGGCCCUGGGGGUUGGGGGGAGGGUGGUAGGAAUCUCAAGGGUGGAAGGGGUCAGGAUCAGUCUGGGCUGGUGGACGCCUGUUGGGAGUCUGUGUGUAAGGAGCCCGUGGUUGUCAGAGAUUGGGGGAUAUUGAGCGAACUCAGCUCACAGGCCCCCAUCCUAGUAGGGCAGGAUCGGGAUUUCCCAGGGCCUGGACUGGCUCCUGGCAUCGUAGGGCCGGGACAGAGUGAGACAGGGCGUUUUGGGGCUGCAGAGAGCAGCAGGAAGGGGUGCGAGCUUGGGCGGAGUCGGCCCGUUCCCACAUGGUCAAUGCACAAGCCAGCUGUUGGGGUCCCUGGGAGCGGGCUGAAGAUUGAAUGCCAGGAGUUGGGUUGGUUUGGGGACAAAGGUGGAGACAGGGACAUGGGCAAGGAAAGGGAUGAGGAAAGGUGUGGGAGAAUACGGGCUUUGGGGCCAGAGCUGGGGAAGCAACUCUGGGCAUGGAAUCUAGGUUUAGGUUGUGGAGGCCGGGUGGAGGGCUCUGGGGACAAGACCUAGGUCUUGGAGGGGCCGUGGAGGCGGAGUGCAAAGGACCAGGGUCGGUCUUGGGGUCUGCGAGAGUGAAUCUGAGAGGAUCGGACUCUGGGGUCCAGGGCUUGGAGAAUGAACGUCCGCAGGGCGGGGACGAAGAGGGACCCGACCGACUAUCCCAGGGGACAGGUCCUAGCGCUGCGGUUCUCGAGGGCAGGGUGGGAAGUCCGUGACUUGUGAAGGGCGGGGCCCGGGUGACCAAGAACACGGUGCGGACCGUGAGAAAGGGGGUCUCCAGAGCGGCUGUAGACCUCUGUGCGGGGCGUGGUGACGGAGGGGAACAAGGACCGAGGCGGUGGAGCUAGGAAGACUUGGGCUGGGGAGCUGGGUCGGGGGCUGGAGGAUUGUGGGGAGCCGAGCCUAUGAGACUGGGGACGGCGGGGUCGGGUCGGGAAGAUGGGUGUCUUGGGUUGGGGGUCGUUGGACAGGCCUGUAAAACUGGAGAUCAUGGUGGGGGCGGGGCCGAAAAGACGGGACACUGGGACGUGCCGCGAGGAGGGGGUCAGGAAGGAGGACUGGGGGCUCGCGGGGCAGAGUAGGGGAGGGUUUGUGGGGCUGGAGGAUGUGGGGAUAGUGCGGGGACCAGAGAGACCGUGGGGGCGGGGGCAGGGCCGGGGGCGGGGCCGGGACGCCGACGUGGGCGGUGGAGGCCGGGGCGGGCCCAGGUGAGCAGGGCCACCGCCCCCUUCGUCCCGUCUGCCCCGGCUCCCCACCCCGGCCUCCAGUCACCCCUUGGCUCCUCCCCGGCGCUGGCUCCGCGGGCCGGGCGGACCGCGGCUGGCGGCGUCUUCGGCCCAGGCCAGGUCCGGCUCGGCUCCAUCUUGGGCCGCUGCGCCGGGCACCUGUGGCGGCCACAGGAGCAGCGCUUCCGCCGGCCUGCGCGGCCUUGGGCGGGCGAGAGGGUGAGAGGCCAGCUCCGUUCUCGCCAGUGUUAGGGCGAAGGAGGGUGGGAUGGGCGGCGCCUCCCCUUCCUGCGCCCCGGAACCCCACUCCUCACCUCUCCCUGCACUCGGACCCUCCGCAUCCCGGCCCCCGCCCAGUGCUCAGCGCCCCCCAUGGCCGCAUCCCUCCGUUCUCUGGUCUCAUUGCCUUUCUUAUCCCCUCUUCCACGUCUCCUCUGCCCAUCCUCCCAUUUCUCAAUACUCUGCCCAGGACUCCGUCUCAUUCUGCCUCCACCCCUGUUCCUAUGGUUUCUCCUCCUCCCUUUUCCAUCCCCACCGCCCAUCCCACCCUCCUCCCACUGCCCCCAGCCCCAGACCUCCCUUCCCUCUCACUCCUCCUGCCCUCCAUCCCUACCCCCUUGGCCCACAGCCCCGUCUUCCUUCAGUCACUGUCUUUGCUGCUGGGAAGGUCUGUAGCCUAGUUUGGGGGAUCGCGUUGAGGACCUUCUCCCUGAGUCCCGGUGGGCUUUGUGUGGGAGGGUCAGGGCAGGGACCCUUGCCCCUGGGGGAGAGUGUGUGGUGUGGUGUGUUUGGGCCUUAGGCUCCACAGCCUGUACGUUUGUUGUGCGGUGCGCAGCUGCGCGGAUGCUGCUUCCUGCAGGCUCACACAGCAAACGGGCCUGUGUGUCGGCCUCUGCUGUGUCCACGGCUGGGGCGUGGGCCUAUGCUGGUUCAUUGGGUGCCCGUGGCCACACAGGUAGGGACACACCAGCCACCUGGGCUGCUUCGGGUUUGGGGCAGCUGGGCCUGGAGGCUGACCUUCUCCAUCCCAGGUUCCUCCUGGGAAGUAUGGGCAAAUCCUCCUCAGGGGAGGAAGCUCUGGGGCUGGUGGGGCCUAGGCUUCUCUGUGGUGAGCAGAGCUGGGUCCUGGGGCCUCUGCCCCACUGUUACCCCAGAAUCCUUUCCCGCAUAGCUUGUGAGCUGGGCAUCUUGUUCUUAAGGCUCUGUGAUGGGUAUGUUUUGUCCCUCUAAACACUUCUCAGUAGCUCAGGAAUGCUCCCCGCUGCAUUCCCCCACUUUGGCCCUAAACAGUCUGGUCCUGUCGGUCCCUCUUUUGCUGCUGGGAUGGAUCAGACCACCUGCUGGAGGCUGCCACACCCUCACUAUGCAGUGAAAGAUUUGGGUGGUGUGUAUCCCUCCCUGGUCCCUGAGGGGUAAGAUCCACAUCUCAACAUAUGAGCAGUUUCCCCUCCUGACCACAUAGCUUUGCUUUUUCCUGUCUUGGUUUUGCUGGAAGCAGAAGUCAUCAUCUAAAUGCCUGUCCCUUAAAAGAGAAGAAAUGGAUGCCGCAGGUGUGGUCUGCGGUGGGGCCUGCUUGCACUGGCCUUGGUAAUCCCCCUGGGCUCAUCCCCAGAGGCCUUGGGCUCCUCCGCUAGGGCGACACAGCAGGAGUUAGAACCUCUGACCAGGUCAACCUAGCAUUCUCUGUGGUUGGGCCACUGGAAGUUUUUGCAGAACUGGAGUUUUUUACUCCAAAUGAUAUUGGUUGAAUGCUGCAUGUGAGGCUGGUUGCUCCUCCACUUGCUGACAAGCAGAACUGAGGCAGCAGGAGAGUGCUGCCUUGGCCACAGGGAGUUGGCCACAUUGCAAAUUUGACUGGCAUCAAAUGGGGCAGGAGAGAGAACAUCACAGUGUCAUCUAAAGAACACUAGGGGUCUUGGAUACCUCUGUGCCUGUGCUUUAACUGGUGCUAAAACAUCUUCCCAGGGUCUCUUUUUUGCAUGAAACCAGAGCCUUUUCCAUAAUUUUUAAGGCAGAUGGACAUGCCAUUUGGGGCACUUAGAAUGCAGACUCCAACCUGUGUGUGUCCGUAUGCAUGCAGGUAUGAGCGUGUGCAUGGGCAUCCUUCAAAGUUGAGGUUUAAAAUAGACUUGGAAACAGUGUGAUGAUGGAGACAUUGGGAACACUGUUGGUAACUAGGUCCUAGGAUGAGGUGAGGGUAGGAAAGAUUAAGAAGCGAGUCCAGGCUAACCUAUAGAGUGUCUCGAUGUCUUCCUAAAAGCCAUCUUUCUGCUCCCCCCCAACCCCAAGUACUAGUCCUGUGAUACCUUGAGCACAAGUCACUCCUGAUGGGAGGAAGAAAGAUAAGAUUAUUAACAAUCACUGUUCCAGGCAGUCCAUAUGCCAUCACGUUCAGUCUUCACUACAGCCCUGCAGGGUGGGGAUUUAUUUCCGAUUUGCAGAUUGGGGAAACUGAGGCUCAAAGUGGUUAGGGGUCCACCUGAGUGCACAUAUGUAGGAAGGGGAAGAGCCUGGAUUGGAAGCAGACCCCUUGCCCCACCUGCUUGCCCCUGGCUCCAAGGUUCAUUUGGUCAGCUCCAUUGCUUCCUGAGAGGCCCCUCUUCCUGGUGGUAGGGUGUGUGGGAAAACUCCUUUCCCUGGCAUAACUCGAGUAACUUCCCUCGAAGCCCUUUCCUCGUUCGGGCUGGGAAGGCCAGCCAGGGUUCAGCUGUGGGUUCUCUGACAUUUCUGAGCUGCUCCAGGUCUCAGUUUUGUCACCUGCCAUUUGUGGAGGUGCGCUGAGGAAGGGAACCAACAGAAAUACACCUCCUCCCCCCACCCCCGGUGUCUUUGUGGUCACUGUUCUCUCACUGGGUGAUGACUAACCCUGGACACUAGACAGCCAUCUGGUGAGGCAGGCACAGCGGGACCCUUGUCACUGACGGCUUCUCACCAGCUCCUGGUGGAGUCUGAGGGUAUCCCCAGCCUUGUCCCACCCUUUCCUUAGGGGGGCCAGGGCCUGGCCUGGCUUCUUAAGGACCUAUUUGUGAGGAGGGUCCAGGGUAGGUGAGGCUCAGCCAGAAGCUGUGUAGGCUGUCCAGAUGGGGCUUCCUUGGCACACUUGGCCUUGGGGCUCCGUGGCUGUCUGCCUGCCAGGGGCUAUCUGUGACCACAGCCUUCCCACGCAGCAGGCGCUCCUCCUGGCCUCUUGCCUCUGGGCAGCCUAUGAAGCUGCUAAGAAGCAGGCCGGCUGGGAUGGACAUCCAGGCUUUGUUCCUACUCAUUCACUUGUUCCACUGGCAUGUUGUGGGCCCCAUUGGGAGUGCCAGGCGCUGCACCGGGUUCUGGGACUCCAGUUGAGCCAUGGCAGCAGUAAAUAAAAAAGAACGACAGUGGAGAGUGAUGGUGUCUGGGAUAGAGGUCUGCACGGUGCCCAGAGGGAGCUCAGAGACCCUCAGACACUCUUGGGUUUAAUUCCUGGCUUAACCACUUACCAGCUGUGUGCCCUUGAGGAAGUCACUAAACCUCUCUCAUACGUCCCAGAUGACAUAUGUCAUGAGGUUGCUUGGACUAUUAAAUGAGACAGUGCUGGAAAGGAGAUGGCACACGCCUGGCAAACAGUGGGUGACUGGGCACUGGGAGCUAUUUUUUUUACUAUCAUCACUGUGAUUGUUAUUGGCUUUGUCGCCCUUCUCUGUUUAUGUGUCCAUCUUUUUUUUUUUUUUUUUUUUUUUUUUUUGCUGUACGCGGGCCUCUCACUGCUGUGGCCUCUCCCGCUGCGGAGCACAGGCUCCGGACGCGCAGGCUCAGCGGCCACGGCUCACAGGCCCAGCCGCUCCGCGGCAUGUGAGAUCCUCCCGGACCGGGGCACAAACCUGUAUCCCCUGCAUCGGCAGGCAGACUCUCAACCACUGCGCCACCAGGGAAGCCCCUAUGUGUCCAUCUUAGAACUCCUGGAGGGCUGGGCCUGGGUCAUAGUCCUCUCUUGCCUACUCAUCCUUUUCCUGACUCUUCCAGGGACGAGUCUGGCUUCAGCCCCAAGGAGCAGCCAGGACAGGAUACUCCUGCCCAGGCUGGGACCAUGUCUAUAGCUGCACAGUCCAGUAUUAACCAUAUGUGGUUAUAUAUCGUCAUUAACCGUAUGUGGCCCUUUAAAUUUCAAUUACUUAAAUUUACAUAAAACAAGAUUUCAGUUUCUCAGUCACACUAGCCACACGUCAAGUGCCCAAUAGCCGCAUGUGACCAGUGCCUACUGCAUUGGAUAGCACAGCAGCAUCUUUCCAUCAUUGCCGGAAGUUGUGCUGAACUGGGCUUCAUAGCAAGCCUGGAGCUCUCAGGGGACAGCUGCCCUAGAAACAUCUCAGCGUUGGCUCGAACAGCCACCAGCCAUCUCCUGAGCUCUGGGACAGCAAGAAGUCUGUAAUAUACAGAAACUGAGUUCCCGAGAGCCCUUCCCACAUUCCCUUUCAAGCGGCCUUGCUCACCUGGCCAGGGUGGUUGGUUUCUUGACAGUUCUUAUCAGCCCAGGCUGGGAAGGCAGGACUGGGGUUGCCCAAACUGCAGCUGUUGCCUGCUAUCCCUGCCGUGUUUCUCCAGCUGGUCCUGCCUGGCUGGGAGUCUCAGAGUAAUGUUUCUAAUUCACAGCUUUGGCUGGGGCCAGGCUGGCCCAGAUGCCCUGACCCCACUCCCUCCCUUUGGGGCCCUGCCCAGCCCCUAGUCUGCUGCCCCCUUGUUGUGCUCUGAACACAUGCCUCCUGCUUUCUGCUCACGCUGUUCCUUGUUCCUUCCCCCUGGGCACCAUCUCCCUCCUCUCUCUCCAGGCCUGACCUGCAUGUCUGGUCCUCCAGGAAGUUCUGAUCCAUCAUGCAAAGUGAGCUCUCCUGCCUUGGAAAUGCCCUCCCUCAGACCCCGUUCUUGGCACUCAGCCCUUUCCCCUACGGGUUUACUCUUGUAUUCGCUUGUUCUCUGCAUCAGACACACGGCAGACACUUUCUGAGUGCCAGCCACGUGUUAGAACAGACAGUGGGGAACAGGCCACAGGCUUUGACAGCUUCAGGCUGGUGGGAGGCCCACAGCUGGCCAGACUUUUCCAUCCAGGCCAGACAGUGCUCAGCCAGAGAUGGAGCCAGUCCCGUUGGGGAAAGCUUCCCCGGGAGGAGACACCAAGGUUGAAGGGGCCGGUGCUGACUCUGGGCUGCAGACGGAACAGUGGGCAGGUCUGGAGGAGUCUGUAUGGCUAGAGGAAGGGACAGGAAUGGCAGGGAGGGAAUGGGGCAGGAAGGGUGCGGGUGUCUGAUUGGUGGUACAGGCAUCCCCUGCUUUUCAAAAGUUCACUUUACGUCACUUCACUUUUAUGAGAGACCUACAUUAAUUAGUACAUGUUUACAAUAAAGGAAAGAAAUCCAAAGAGGAUUUUACAAGAAAAGGUAGUUGCUUCUUUGCUUUACACCAUUUUGGUUUACGAACGGUUCCAUAGGAAUGCUGUACUUUCGGAUAGCGGGGGAGGCCUGUACUGGACCCCAUUCUGGGGGGGAGCCUGGCAUGCAGUAGGUGCUCAGGAGAUGGCUGUGGGAGGAAUGAGCAAAUGCCGAGUAAGUCCUGUGCGUAGAGGGCUGGUAUGGGGGCCUCUUCCUACGCUUGGAACCUGUGAUGGAAGCCAGGAAAGCCCUUCCCCUUCACGGCAGCCAAGACUGAUCCCCAGAGACGUGACAGCUCAGUCAGGCUACACGAGAGAAGAUGGGGAGGGGGCAUGGGAGAACCCAGGGUGGUUCUCAGUGUGCCCUGUAUUCAUUUCUUGCUUGUCCCACGAAACUUCUCUGAGCCCCCUCCCCGCACCGUGUACCAAGGAGGCUGUAGUCUAGGUGAAAGAGAUAAUGACAGUUGUGGGAGGAACCUGGCUGGUAUUCACCAGUUGAGCUUUACUUGUUAUUAAAAUACUGCAAUACUUCUGUGCUAAGACCUAUUGUCCCCAGCAGGCUUGGCCUCUCCCCUGGCUCCCCGCUUCCCCAUAACCCAGCAGUAAAGAGUCAACAGCUGGCCUUCUGAGUGGUCUCUAGGACCUUACCCUAGGGCUCGUUCUGAUCGCUCGGUUCUGGUUUUUAGAUAUUUGAAGUGUCAUCCCUGUGUAUAAUGUGUGGUGAUCUUGAUUUGAAGUGUCUGGUCUCCUGUCAUCGUUUUGCUUGUGGCUUUGCCUGGUCAGGCAGGCUGGGACUGAAGCUGUCCCCGCAGUGUGCCUUGCACCCUGUGGGCCCCCAGCAGAGUCCAGCGGAAGUGCUGCACCCAACUCAAUGCCGCUCCCUCCCUCUCUCUCUCCUGCAGGCAGCCAUGAGAUCCAGCCGCCCUGAGCGGGGUGCCCAGGAACCCCUCAGUCCCUGCCCUCAGCCCCUGUCCUGGAGCUCCUCCAGCCUGCUGGGCGCAGGCCGGGGGCAGAGGCCGGAGCUCCACAAGAGCGCCAGCAGCACCGUAUGGCAGGCCCAGCCGGGCGAGGCCAGCACGGGUGCCCAGGUCCGGGAGGAGGAAGGGCACCAGGCUGAGAGUGAGGAACAGGCACGUGCCUCCAGCCCCCGGCCACAGCCCGGGGCCGUGGGUCACUGGCAGAGCAGCGCUGCGGGCGGUGGUGACCUGUGCUGCCUGCGGGACCCCAGCACCGCCGCUGUGCAGAGAAGCCACUCGGACCUGGUCUGCAGCACCCCGAUCUGGGGCCACAGCAGUGCCCGGAAGGCCAGCCUCAGCUGCUCGGCCCUGGGCAGCUCGCCUGUCCACAGAGCUCAGCUGCAGCCCAGCAGCGCUUCUGGCCGGGGUGGCCAAGCCCCUGCAGGCCUGGAAAGGGACCUGGCUCUGGAGGAUGAGACUUCAAACUCAGCCUGGACACUGGAGGAGAGUCAGAUGUGGGUGCCGCCACCUGACCUGGGGGGCACAGUGACCCACAGCAGCAGCCUCAAAGCCACUGGGCAGUCGGCCACCACCUCCUGCCAUGCUCUGCCCCCAGCAGCGCUACUCUGUGGUGUGAGGGAGGUGGGGGCCAGCAGCUGCUGCCACGGCUUGCCUGCCCCAGGGAUCCUGGCCUUUCCUAAACUAGUGGCAUCAGUGAGUGAAUCUGGGCUGCAGGCUCAGCACGGGGUGAAAUUCCAGUGUAGGUUGUCUGCGGGGCUUCCUGGGCAUUCCCACUGCUGUGCGUACCCUUGGGGUCCCACCAGGUUAGCUAUGGAGGCUGGCACCAGGACCAAGGAUAUGUGGACCAUGACCUCAGCAAGUGACUUGGCCCCCAUCUUGGCAUCACCUCUGUCAGCCCAGGAUGCUGGUGUGCAAGCGGCCCCCAAGGCAGUCUGCAAAGCUGUGGCCACCAGCCCGCCUCUGGAGGCCCCUGUGGCCCUGCACACAUUCUCGGAGGCAACUCUGGGGUCCAGCCUGGAGGAGGUGCCACCCCCUGUGCGGGACGUGCGAUGGGAUGCUGAGGGCAUGACAUGGGAGGUGUACGGAGCUGCAGUGGACCCUGAGGUACUCGGCCUGGCCAUCCAGAAGCACCUGGAGAUGCAGUUUGAGCAGCUGCAGCGGGCCCCUGCCAGCGAGAACAGCUUGUCUGCGGAGAGCCGGAGGGGGCCACUUCGAGCUGUUAUGCAGUCCCUGCAGUGCCCCAGCUGCUGCAGCUGCUCCAGUGCAGUCCCUGAGUAAGGAGCUGCAGUCCCAGGAGCUGCCCUGGGCCCAUGGACUCAGCCCCAGGGACAGUAGGGACCCUGUGCCCUUUGGACCCACGGGCACCCAUGGACGUGUCUCUGUUCUUGGCUGUCUGCAGACCGCAGGACUGCAGCCUGGGGGCUUCCUGCCCCCUGCAGCUGGGCUAGUUUUUAAGGGCUUGAUUUCCAAGAGCCACAUCUGCACAUCCGGCUCUGAACUCUGGAACAGUUUCAACACUGUGCAUAACGGGGAUCCUGACUUUUCUGUCAAAACCCUCGACCUUCUGUUCAGUCUCUCACCAGGCCUCUUGAUGGCUUUAUUUUCACAGCAGUGCUGAGAUACAACGAAUUCCUGCCAUGAGACGUGUGGCCCCAAGUGGCAAGGACUGAGUCUUUAGGGGAGGGAACUGACAUUGUGGAGGCCUCCCAUGUGCCACAGCCUGUACCCAUCCCCUUACUUUGUGGAGUCUUUACCUCUUCACUCUGUUUUAUAGACGCAACCACAGACACUGGCAUGGCUGUAACUGCCGUGCCCUGGGUUGGACAGCUCGAGGUGGUGGGAUGAGAGCAGAGCUGAGGCUGGCUGAAGCCUGCAGUGUUUUCCUGCAGCACGUGGCUGGCAGCGCAGGGCAGUUGUGAACAAGAAGAAUUUAUUGAGCCCAUGUUCCAUGCCAGGUUCUGUGAAUUCCUUGGGAAAGAAGCUGCCUGUGCCCUUGCUGAGCUCACAGUGUGUAGGAUGGGGGGCUUUGAGCAUUACAGAGGACUGCAGGGUACUUCUAAGAGCCAGCCUCCCAGUAGGUCAUGUGUCAGGCACUGGCCUCAGGAGGGAGAGAGCGGGUGGCCACCUGUCCCAAAAUAUGUUGCAGUGCCUGAAAUUGUACCAUUUUCACCUUGCUCCUUUGGCUUAAGGACUUAUUCUCAGCUGGUGCAGUUCUUCAAAGGAGGGGGGCAGGAAUGGGUGGGAAAAGGGAAGGAGCCUGGGGUGGGGUCUCCCACCUAGCGGGAAAUGGCGGGAGCUGUGAGGCCAUGGGGGUCAGGGGACCAUGGGGGUGGGGAGCUCAGGACACUGGCGCUUAGCACAGCCUGACUUCAUUGACAAAGGAGCUCUCAAGACCUGCGGAGGAUAAGGGCUGCACCUGGUAUGUCAAGAUGGCAGGCUGGGCUGUGCCCUGAGUGGGGAGGGCUAGCCAGCCACCCACCUCAUCGCGACCGAGAUGAAGGUUUGCAGGGUGGCGCUGGAAUCCAGCCUGGCCUGUGCCCGAGCUGGGGGCUGCGCAUGGCUGGGGCCCCCGGAACACCCUCCUAGGUAAGCUUGCCGCCCCACACCAGCGGAGAUGGCGUCCUCGGCCCCACUAGCCCCGGCUGCACAGCCUCUGCGGACAAGUCUACUUGGAGCACCUGCAACUUAAUUUUCGAAUUCAACCUGGAGACCCAACCCUCCCACCCCCUUCCUGCUGUGGCCUUUCCCUGGAUGGGCCUGACUGGCAGUGGUUUAGGGUCCCAGGACACGGCCACCAGCUUCGUUUACAAAUCUCGUCCUCUCAGACUCCAGAUUUCUGACCAGACUUUCUGGGACCCCUUCAGACCUGACUCUGGAAGGUGGUGGAUUUCAUUAUGCGUAUGUCUGUUUUGUUUUGAAUUUGAAAUAAAGUAACGGAGAUCACA